UACAGAGGGGGCAAGCGUUGUUCGGAAUUACUGGGCGUAAAGGGCGCGUAGGCGGCCUUCUAAGUCGAACGUGAAAUCCCUAGGCUCAACCUAGGAACUGCGUCCGAUACUGGGAGGCUUGAAUCCGGGAGAGGGAUGCGGAAUUCCAGGUGUAGCGGUGAAAUGCGUAGAUAUCUGGAGGAACACCGGUGGCGAAGGCGGCAUCCUGGACCGGUAUUGACGCUGAGGAGCGAAAGCCAGGGGAGCAAACGGG
rnacentral:rRNA from 1 species